rnacentral:rRNA from 1 species
UACAGAGGUGGCGAGCGUUGUUCGGAUUUACUGGGCGUAAAGGGUGCGUAGGUGGCUUUGUGUGUCGGACGUGAAAGCCCACGGCUCAACCGUGGAACUGCAUCCGAAACUGCAGAGCUAGAGUGCAGGAUGGGAGAGCGGAAUUCUUGGUGUAGCGGUGAAAUGUGUUGAUAUCAAGAAGAACACCGGUGGCGAAGGCGGCUCUCUGGAAUGUUACUGACACUGAGGCACGAAAGCUGGGGGAGCAAACAGGAUUAGAUACCCCCGUA